rnacentral:rRNA from 1 species
ACUGAACGCUGGCGGCAGGCCUAACACAUGCAAGUCGAGCGAGCGGCGGACGGGUGAGUAAUGUAUGGGGACUGCCCGAUAGAGGGGGAUAACUACUGGAAACGGUAGCUAAUACCGCAUACUAUCGGAUAACCCAUAUGGGAUUAGCUAGUAGGGGGGGUAAUGGCUCACCUAGGCGACGAUCCCUAGCUGGUCUGAGAGGCUGAUCAGCCACACUGGGACUGGGACACGGCCAAGACUCCGACGGAGGCAGCAGUGGGGAAUAUUGCACAAUGGGCGCAAGCCUGGUGCAGCCAUGGCGAGUGUAUGAAGGAGGCCCUAGGGUUGUAAAGUACUUUCGGUCGGGAGGCGGUACCGGCAGAAGAAGCACCGGCUAACUCCGUGCCAGCAGCCGCGGUAAUUC